UUUAAAUAUUUAAUAUGUAUUUUUUUAAAAAAUAGUUAGACAGCAUCAAUAUUAACUAAACAUUUUUAUAGACAAUAAUCUAUAUUUUUUUCGUUUAGAUCUAUUUUUAAGUAUUACUACUUGAAAAAAGUGACGGCGACGGCGAUGGCGAUAGAUUUCUAGGGUUUUGAUGAUUGAUCGAGAUUGGGAUCCGGGAUCUCAGAGGAAGAUUGAGGGGUAAUCCACGGGCUUUCCAUAGGUUGGGAAGAAGGAUCGCGGUUGUUAGGAAAUGGUUAUUAUUAGGAUCUUUCAUAUGGAUGCAGUAUCCAGAAGAUCAAUCAUUCAGAUUACAAGGGGAAAAAAUAUGGAGGCACUUGGAUUUUAAAGGGAUUUUUCUUCGUGGUUUGGGAGUUUUCAAUUUAACUUAUGGAGGUUGGCGCGUUAAGGAUAUUAGGUUUUUGCAAGAGAAACAAAAAUUGUUUUCAAACAUUCUUAAGAUUAGCUUGAAUGUACUUAAAGGUCAUAUCUUUUAUUUUCUUCAUAUGAGUAUCUUGUUUGAAGGAAAGGGGAUGCGAGGAAUGAAUGUGGGAUUCGAUAAUUCUAUGCUGUCACGAAGUCAAUGUGUCUUUCACAGGUUGGCAAGGUCUUGCAGGUGGGUAAGGGCUCGUGGGGUGGAGCGUAACCAAGAAGGGUGGGAUGUUCGAUCUCACGGUAAUGGAUGGUUUCUGCAAAUUCAAAUCCCAAAUGAAUGUUGGGUUACAGGGUUUGAGGUUUUAUUUGGUGCAUGGAGGCUUGCAUUAGGGAUUGCAAUAUUGGCACUUUGGUUCUUCCCUAGCAGGAACAAAGAUAUACGGUGUCUGGAUAGUAGGUUGAGCAAGUAUUGGGUCAAGCUAACAGUAAAUAAUUAUGUCUUUUUGGUUUGUAUGUAUAUUGGUCUUUGGGAUUAUGAUAUUGCUGGAGGCACAUUUGGUCGGUCUUGUUACUAUAUGGUUUGGAUUUGUGAGUGGGGCUACUUAUAUAUGGAUCGAGAAUUCUUGUAUUUUAUGGACACGCUAUGUGUAUUGGUUCUACGGCAACUGGUAAUUAGGAGUUUUUUGUUGUUAUUUCA